UUCAAUUAUUAUUCUUUGUGCCUAUUAAGUUUUGCUGUGUGUAUGUUGGUAUAAACUUCAACUUGGAUGGAGUUUUGAGUUUCCUGCCUAAGCUUGAGAGCGAUGAGGGAUUAUAUCUAGCCCCCAAAAAGAGAGAGGCCUUGAGCAAGGAAAAAGAAAAAUGCACUGACAGGAGAUCUCCAAAGCUUUUGGAUGAGUUGUAAGAGCCAUCCUACAGUCUAAAGUUCGAGGGACGGCUGCAGUUGUGACGAGGAUAGAUUUGAGAAUGAAGUUUCUCCACUUCUAGCUCAUAGAUUUCCUUCAACUCGAGGUGAGAGGGAAUUUGAUAUGGUCAAUGCUUUCAUUAUGUCUGAUCAUGCUAGAGCUUUGGCUAGGCAUAGAGUGGAUAUGGUAGUCUACAAAAGAAUGGUACUUUUUUUGCUCUGCAAUUCAUUUUUGCUUAUAUUCACAUUUCUGAGUUUACUUGGCAAUUGUAUUAUACUUUCCCUAUUUGCCUAACAGGUUUUGACUAUGUAAUCUUCACUUGUUGGGAUGAGUAGUCGCAUUUUAAUGGCUAAGUUGAAAGCUCUCGAGGAGGACAAUAACGAUGAAGCAAGCAACAUUAAGAAGAAAGAUCUGCAAUAAGGAUAUGGAGUCCUUGAAUUGGGAGUAGGAGUCCCAAAUUAGUAAACGAGAUAAGGAGAUUGAUAACUUGUGCUCUUAUCUAGCCCAUGCUCAAAUUGAUAUAGUAGAUCGAUUCAAGGUUUCUUAGGAAUAUGUUAAGGACGUGAAUAAAUAUGGGGCAAAAAUGAUGGCUACCUUUAUCUCUCUUACUAAAGAAUGAGUGGCUGCUGAACAUCCAUCUAUCUAUCCUCGCGACUUGACUAUUUUUUGUUGCAAUGUAGAGAGAAGAAAUAAGUAGACUAAGAUAUUUGUAUACACCAAUGCACCACGGAGAGAGGGCGAAGGGACCUCACACCCCGAGUGACUUAGUUUUUCAUUAUUCGGUUGCAUUUUUUAUUAUUAUUCCCUUUUGUCCUUUGACUACUCUGUAAUUUUUAUUGGUCCGAGAUGUGGACUGGAUAUCAUAUUUUGCAUCAUUGUGGUUGAUUUCUUUUUCAAAAAAUGAUCCUAGUUUGACAUAUCCCAUUUUUUUUAUUGGGCUAGACGGACAAUCACAUUAGUAUAUCAAAAUCAUUCACCAAAUGUGUAGAGGUUAUGCCGUCUAUUCUUGC
rnacentral:lncRNA from 1 species